AGGUGACAGGUAAGGUGGGGGUGACAGGUGGUAUUUUAGAUAAAGAUGCAGGUGAAUUGGUCGAGGAUGUGGGUGAAACAGGUGUCGGUGGAGAGGCAGGUGAGGUUCCUGGUGAAGUGGGUGAGGCAGGUAAAGUAACAGGUGAACUAGAAGAGGUAGGUGAACCAGGUGAGGUGAAAGAGGCAGGUGAGGUUGUAGGUGAGUUGGGUGAGGCAGGUAAAAGAACAGGUGAGUUGUGUGAAGGAUUUGAGGUCGUUGGUAAACAGUGUGAAGCAGGUAAGGCGAGAGAGGCAGGUGAGGCUGUAGGUGAGUCGUGUGAGACAGGUAAACUAGCAGGUGAGCUGAGUGAGGGGAGCACAGUAGCUGAGGCUGAAGAGAUGGAGGCCUGUGAGUCUGGGUGGGGGUCUGCUCCUCUUAAACAGCGCAGUAAGAGGAGAAGCAUGUUGACCGUGGAGGUGGGUGGUAAAGCCGGACGUCUGGCCGGUAAACCGAGUGCUGCAGAGAACAGAGCAGCUCUAUCUGACAGCAGUGACAGUGAAGGGUGUGU